rnacentral:lncRNA from 1 species
AUUGGUUAAAGAACCUGGUCGGAGCCAGAUUGAGAUCAAUGGCUAUAUACAUGUUUUUGUUGCUGGAGAUAGAUCACAUAAUCGGUCUGCUAACAUCUACAAAAAGUUGGAUGAGCUUAAUAUUAAACUCAAGAAAGCUGGGUAUAUUGCUGAAAUAGAUAUGGUGAUUCAUGACUUGGAAAUUGAAGAAAAAGAGGAGGCUCUGAAGGUUCACAGUGAAAGAUUGGCUGUUGCGUGGGGACUAAUCAGUACUGACCUGGGAACCACUCUUACAAUCAUAAAGAACCUUCAAACUUGUGUUGAUUGUCACUCGUUUUUGAAGUUUACCUCCAAGGUUACAGGCAGGCAUCUUAUUGUAAGAGAUG